CACGGGAAGGGCAAGCGUUAUUCGGCAUAACUGGGCGUAAAGGGUUCGUAGACUGUAAAGUAAGUUAAUAGUAAAAUUUUUAAGCUUAACUUAAAAAAAGCUUUUAAUACUGCUUUACUUGAGUUUUAUACAGAAGAGUGGAAUUUUAUAUGUAAGGGUAAAAUCUGAAGAUAUGUAAAGGAACACCGACAGCGAAGGCAACUCUUUGGUAAAAACUGACGUUGAGGAACGAAAGUGUGGGGAGC
rnacentral:rRNA from 1 species